rnacentral:lncRNA from 1 species
CAUUCAGGUUCCCUGGAAAACGACCCCUGCCUGGAAGCCGGGCUCCUCGGCCGCGGGGCAACGGUUCUCUGUGAAUCCCUGAGCUCUGCGUCGAUGGAAGCGCAUGCUUUCUCUGAGGUGUAACUCAUAUUCUGUGUGUGAACCCGACAGAGAACAGAUGCUAUUUCACCUGCAGCCCUGCACCCAUUGAGAACGGCAGAUGGAAGAGGCAAAAUAAAUAGGUCAGAACUAGGCGUGGUGAAGUGGACGCUGUGCUGGGCCUUGAAGAGGACGGCCUGGACCAAACGUGUGUGCGCGUUGCAGUCACACGGAGGGCUUGUGCAAACGUAGAGCUGCUGGUGUGUUAGGUCUGUGAUGGGCCCUGAGAAUUUGCAUUUAAAACAAAUUCACGGAGGCUGCUGAAGCUCCCUCUGAGGACCAUGGGCCUCCCCGGUGGAAGACCUGGGGCUGAAUCCCAGAUUCCUUGCUUUACUAGCUGUGACUGAGGGAAUUUAGUUAUCUGAGUCUCGGCUCCUUCUCUGUAAACUGAACUGUAAACUCCCUGUUUAUCCAUUUUGUUAGACUUGUGUGAAAAGGAAAUAAAAUAAUAUAUUUGCAAAUUA